rnacentral:rRNA from 1 species
CUACAGGCUUAACACAUGCAAGUCGAGGGGCAUCAGGAAGAAUUCUUGCUUUCUUUGCUGGCGACCGGCGCACGGGUGAGUAACACGUAUCCAACCUGCCCUUUACUCGGGGAUAGCCUUUCGAAAGAAAGAUUAAUACCCGAUAGCAUAAUGAUUCCGCAUGGUUUCAUUAUUAAAGGAUUCCGGUAAAGGAUGGGGAUGCGUUCCAUUAGGUUGUUGGUGAGGUAACGGCCCACCAAGCCUUCGAUGGAUAGGGGUUCUGAGAGGAAGGUCCCCCACAUUGGAACUGAGACACGGUCCAAACUCCUACGGGAGGCAGCAGUGAGGAAUAUUGGUCAAUGGGCGCUAGCCUGAACCAGCCAAGUAGCGUGAAGGAUGAAGGCUCUAUGGGUCGUAAACUUCUUUUAUAUAAGAAUAAAGUGCAGUAUGUAUACUGUUUUGUAUGUAUUAUAUGAAUAAGGAUCGGCUAACUCCGUGCCAGCAGCCGCGGUAAUACGGAGGAUCCGAGCGUUAUCCGGAUUUAUUGGGUUUAAAGGGAGCGUAGGUGGACUGGUAAGUCAGUUGUGAAAGUUUGCGGCUCAACCGUAAAAUUGCAGUUGAUACUGUCAGUCUUGAGUACAGUAGAGGUGGGCGGAAUUCGUGGUGUAGCGGUGAAAUGCUUAGAUAUCACGAAGAACUCCGAUUGCGAAGGCAGCUCACUGGACUGCAACUGACACUGAUGCUCGAAAGUGUGGGUAUCAAACAGGAUUAGAUACCCUGGUAGUCCACACAGUAAACGAUGAAUACUCGCUGUUUGCGAUAUACAGUAAGCGGCCAAGCGAAAGCAUUAAGUAUUCCACCUGGGGAGUACGCCGGCAACGGUGAAACUCAAAGGAAUUGACGGGGGCCCGCACAAGCGGAGGAACAUGUGGUUUAAUUCGAUGAUACGCGAGGAACCUUACCCGGGCUUAAAUUGCAGUGGAAUGAUGUGGAAACAUGUCAGUGAGCAAUCACCGCUGUGAAGGUGCUGCAUGGUUGUCGUCAGCUCGUGCCGUGAGGUGUCGGCUUAAGUGCCAUAACGAGCGCAACCCUUAUCUUUAGUUACUAACAGGUUAUGCUGAGGACUCUAGAGAGGCUGCCGUCGUAAGAUGUGAGGAAGGUGGGGAUGACGUCAAAUCAGCACGGCCCUUACGUCCGGGGCUACACACGUGUUACAAUGGGGGGGUACAGAAGGCAGCUAGCGGGUGACCGUAUGCUAAUCCCAAAAUCCUCUCUCAGUUCGGAUCGAAGUCUGCAACCCGACUUCGUGAAGCUGGAUUCGCUAGUAAUCGCGCAUCAGCCACGGCGCGGUGAAUACGUUCCCGGGCCUUGUACACACCGCCCGUCAAGCCAUGGGAGCCGGGGGUACCUGAAGUACGUAACCGCAAGGAUCGUCCUAGGGUAAAACUGGUGACUGGGGC